rnacentral:rRNA from 1 species
UCCUACGGGAGGCAGCAGUGGGGAAUAUUCCACAAUGGGCACAAGCCUAUUGCAGCCAACGCGAAAAAUCAAAAAGCCCUUCGGCUUGUAAGCUACGUCGGCUGGAGGACGGGAGUAAAAUUUAUAGG